rnacentral:lncRNA from 1 species
AGCGAUCACAGAACCACCCUCAAGAAUUUAUUUCUCACAGUCAUGGAAGGUAUGCUUUCUGGAUCUUCCCAUUGUGGCUCCCCAUGAAACAAUACCUCAAGUACAGCUCUCAGCAGGCGUGAUCACUCACCAAAUACCAGAAAAGUGACAUCUGUUCAUAUACCAACAUAAUAUCUUAUUGAAGUAGGAGAACAAGGCCAAGGAUGGAGGCCUGAGAGACAUCAGCAUUUAAAAGAGAAGAUGUAGAAAUGAAGAGAAUGGACUCCUAGAACGCCCAAGUGUUAAUAUUUUUAGGAACAAGGAAUAAAGUAAGACAAGAUUUUUAAAUACCUUGUUGGCUUAACUUAUCAGGUCCCUACCACACUUUGUAUCUAGGGGGGCUGCAGGAGUAUGGAAUCAGAGAGAUUUGAGUUUCUUUUUCUUUUUCUUUUUUUUUUAAAGAUUUAAUUUAUUUGUUUGUCAAAGAGAGAGAAGAGCAGGCAGAGGGAAAAGCAGGCUCCCUGCUGAGCAGGGAACCCCAUGCAGGACUAGAUCCCAGGACUCUGGGAUCAUGACCU